rnacentral:tRNA from 1 species
GUUUUAAUAAUUUAAUAUAAAAUAUUGGUCUUGUAAACCAAAAAUGAAGUCUUCUUAAAACU